CCUACGGGUGACAGCAGUGAGGAAUAUUGGUCAAUGGGCGUAAGCCUGAACCAGCCAAGUCGCGUGAGGGAUGAAGGUUCUAUGGAUCGUAAACCUCUUUUAUAAGGGAAUAACGUGCGGGACGUGUCCCGUUUUGUAUGUACCUUAUGAAUAAGGAUCGGCUAACUCCGUGCCAGCAGCCGCGGUAAUACGGAGGAUCCGAGCGUUAUCCGGAUUUAUUGGGUUUAAAGGGUGCGUAGGCGGCCUUUUAAGUCAGCGGUGAAAGUCUGUGGCUCAACCAUAGAAUUGCCGUUGAAACUGGGAGGCUUGAGUAUGUUUGAGGUAGGCGGAAUGCGUGGUGUAGCGGUGAAAUGCAUAGAUAUCACGCAGAACUCCGAUUGCGAAGGCAGCUUACUAACCUAUAACUGACACUGAAGCACGAAAGCGUGGGGAUCAAACAGGAUUAGAUACCCCUGUAGUC
rnacentral:rRNA from 1 species